GGCUCAGAACGAACGUUGGCGGUGUGCCUAAUACAUGCAAGUCGAGCGAGAAAACCGGGGCAACUCGGUGAGUACAGCGGCGGAAGGGUGCGUAAUACAUGGUUAACGUACCCCCCAGAUCGGGAUAACCCUCCGAAAGGUGGGCUAAUACCGGGUAAUGGCAGCGGGUGGCAUCAUUUGCUGCUUAAAGACGCAAGUCACUGGGGGAGCGGACCAUGGCCUAUCAGCUAGUUGGCGGGGUAACGGCCCACCAAGGCGAUGACGGGUAGCCGGACUGAGAGGUUGAACGGCCACACGGGAACUGAGACACGGUCCCGACAUCUACGGAUGGCAGCAGUAGGGAAUCUUGCACAAUGGGCGAAAGCCUGAUGCAGCGACACCGCGUGGGGGAUGAAGGCCUUCGGGUUGUAAACCCCUUUCAUGAGGGAAGAAUACUGACCUAACCUCAGGAAGAAGCACCGGCUAACUCCGUGCCAGCAGCUGCGGUAAUACGGAGAGUGCAAACGUUGUUCGGAUUCACUGGGCGUAAAGGGCACGUAGGCGGCUCGGCAAAUCGGUCGUGGAAUCCCGACGCUUACCGUCGGAACGGCGGCCGAAAAUACCGGGCUCGAGGGCGUGAGGGGUCACUGGAACUCCUGGUGAAGCGGUGAAAUGCGUAGAUAUCAGGAGGAACGCCGGAGGCGAAAGCGAGUGACUGGCGCGUUCCUGACGCUGAGGUGCGAAAGCUAGGGGAGCAAACAGGAUUAGAUACCCUGGUAGUCCUAGCCGUAAACAAUGGACACUGAGUGAAGGAGGGCUUGCCCUUCUUUGCUGCAGCUAACGCGUUAAGUGUCCCGCCUGGGGAGUACGGCCGCAAGGUUAAAACUCAAAG
rnacentral:rRNA from 1 species